CGGGCAAGGAAGGAGGCGGGGCGCGAAGGAGGAGACUUGGCCAAUGGUGAUCGCGGAGGGGGCGGAGAUAACUGGAGCGCUAUGAUGAAUAUAAGAAAGGGAGAGCUAUGACAACAUCCCUCCGGGCGAAAGUACUUGAAAACCCGUAUCGCCAAAUCCUGACAUGCAGGAAAGGACCCGAGCAUCUAAGCAGCGGCCUACAGGCAGUCGUGUACACCUGUAGCUGUCGUAUACCUGGCUGCACGCGCUGGACAAACCUCAAUGUAUGCCCGGGCUGUCCUGUUACACCCAAUUAAAGGCCGGAUUGUGUACAGCACAUUGUAAGCCUCUUCUGAGGAAUAAACCCCGCCAGCUGGAGGCAGAGAAAGCCAACGUGCCAACCGGAAUGUAGCUUUGCCUCAAACCUGUUCUUGCCCAAAGAUUUCUUCUGCUCUUUCCUUCAGGGGAUUCGAUCAUGGGCUGUUUCUGCUCAUGGUACAGACUGAUCUCAGUAACCGUGUGUUAAUCUGUGUCUGUCGCUUAAGAACCAUCGGUGAGAAAUGUGGAGGGGUGCACAAGACACAGGCUGCUCAGGAUUUAAAAAUGUUAAAAUGGAGUCAAGCUCCUUUUUCUGAAACUAACAGACACUGAAUUAUGGGCGUGGGAUCUAUUUAACCAUCAGGGGUAAAUAAACGCAAUACACACAUCACCGAGGUGUGUUCAUCUCAUUGCAGAACGAAGCCAGGUAAAUGUGAAAGAGAGCUAAAAAUCCACGUGUCCUGCUCUGAAUGGCCUAUUUUCUGUCCUGAAUGAGUUUUCUCUCUGCACACAGAGUAAGUGACACACACCUUGACACACAUCUAUUCAUGAUCUGUGCUCAGUAAUGAAGGCCCGCGUGCACUCAAUAUUCCCCCGCAGCUCAGCGACACGUUCUGCCCUCUGGCAAAGGAAAGAAAGGAGAGAAAAUGAAGCAGAUGAGUGCAAAGAGGCUCUUGGGGGUGAAGGAAAUGCAUCGGGCACGCUAAACGGGGUGAGACGGGGUCGAGAGAAGUGCCGCGGUCGACCGGGAACAUCCCUCAAUCUCAGAAGUACAGACACGCUGCUCAUACAGUUGAGAUGUUGACGUCAUGCUCUGAAGGUCCAGCGGUCAGGUACGCUCUCAGGGUUAAUGGUGCCUGUCUCUCUCUCCCGUCUCACAGUAUUCCACCCUCAUGCGGUACGGCUUCAGUCACAUGACCCCUGACAUACAG